rnacentral:rRNA from 1 species
AUUGAACGCUGGCGGCAGGCUUAACACAUGCAAGUCGAGCGGAGAUGAGGUGCUUGCACCUUAUCUUAGCGGCGGACGGGUGAGUAAUGCUUAGGAAUCUGCCUAUUAGUGGGGGACAACAUUCCGAAAGGAAUGCUAAUACCGCAUACGCCCUACGGGGGAAAGCAGGGGAUCUUCGGACCUUGCGCUAAUAGAUGAGCCUAAGUCGGAUUAGCUAGUUGGUGGGGUAAAGGCCUACCAAGGCGACGAUCUGUAGCGGGUCUGAGAGGAUGAUCCGCCACACUGGGACUGCGACACGGCCCAGACUCCUGCGGGAGGCAGCAGUGGGGAAUAUUGGACAAUGGGCGGAAGCCUGAUCCAGCCAUGCCGCGUGUGUGAAGAAGGCCUUUUGGUUGUAAAGCACUUUAAGCGAGGAGGAGGCUACUUAGAUUAAUACUCUAGGAUAGUGGACGUUACUCGCAGAAUAAGCACCGGCUAACUCUGUGCCAGCCGCCGCGGUAAGAC